CGUUCAGCACCUAAGUUCAAAGAAAACAAGGAGCGACUGUGAUAGAGAAGAGACUGUACGAGUGACUGUUUGAACAAAUCCUAAUCCGUUCUGCUGUACUCGGAAUGUAUUAGGAUGUUACAGCUUCAAUCGCUGUGGGAGCAUCUUGUCUCGCUGCUAUCAUUAAACCUAACAAGCCCAUGGCUUCGCAACCCAAGAUGCCUUUCACAAUUGCUCACUGAGUAAAGCUGUGAAUGAGAAGCCCCGUCUGUCCAUGCUCACGGAACUCAGUGGCAGAAGCCGGGGAGGCUUAAAUGAUGGGAACCUGAGUGUUGGCCUAGUGAGCUACCAGGCUCUGAUUCUUUUAACUCUGUGCUGAGGCCAUAGACAGAAUGGCUGGGGAUCUGAAAGUAUAACAUGUGUCCUACUUGGGUAACUUUUUGGAAGUCUGAGAUUGUCUAGAAAUAACAAGCUUUAAGGAGUUAUGAAUGAAAAUGAGUUCCUGGGAGUGCCACGAUUCUAAGUGCUGAAUACAGAGUUGGUGAAAACAGUCCAACUGUUUGUGAUAGAAACCCGGGUGGCUAGUUCAUAUGCGCUGGCCAGUUCAUCACCACAUGCAUUUAUUAUGAUUUAAAGAUGAAUUAUGCAAAACGCCUCUAAAUUAAACAUGAACAGUGAGAGAGCAACACAGGAGCAUUAGGUUUGUGAAGCUGCUUAGGAAAUGGACUUCUUGAACCAAGAAGACAACGGAGGAGAUCUGAGUGGCCCUUUCAGGGAGAAGAUGCCUGAGUACCUCUCCUCUCUAUCCCUGAGCCAAUGAGAGAAAGUGAAGUCACAGCUACCAUAGGAGCUUUACAGAGGAAGAGAAAGUGAUCUACCAGGAAGCCACCAACACCCUCAUUGGACUAAGUUUGGAGCCAGGUCGGCUGCCUGAAAUGAACACAAACAGAAAUAGAACAGAAUGGCUCAGGAGAGUGCACACCCGAGGAGGGUGCCUGACCUCCGGAGACACGGGGGAAGUGAUCAACAUG